CGGUGGAGCAUGUGGUUAAUUCGAUUGCAACGCGAAGAACCUUACCUAGGCUUGACAUCCCGGGAAUCCUUGGAAACUAAGGAGUGCCUUUCGGGGAGCCCGGAGACAGGUGCUGCAUGGCUGUCGCCAGCUCGUGUCGUGAGAUGUUGGGUUAAAUCCCGCAACGAGCGCAACCCUUGUCAUUAGUUGCUACGAAAGGGCACUCUAAUGAGACUGCCGGUGACAAGCCGGAGGAAGGUGGGGAUGACGUCAAGUCCUCAUGGCCCUUAUAGGUGGGGCUACACACGUCAUACAAUGGCUGGUACAAAGGGUUGCCAACCCGCGAGGGGGAGCCAAUCCCAUAAAGCCAGUCGUAGUCCGGAUCGCAGUCUGCAACUCGACUGCGUGAAGUCGGAAUCGCUAGUAAUCGUGGAUCAGCAUGUCACGGUGAAUACGUUCCCGGGUCUU
rnacentral:rRNA from 1 species